UAUUAACAGCGAGAAGACGGGA
rnacentral:misc_RNA from 1 species